GAUGAACGCUAGCGGCAGGCCUAACACAUGCAAGUCGAGGGAGGAGCUUUCGGGCUUCGACCGGCGUACGGGUGCGUAACGCGUAUACAAUCUUCCUUUCACAUAGGGAUAGCCCGAAGAAAUUUGGAUUAAUACCUAAUGGUAUAUAGGAGUGGCAUCACAUUUAUAUUAAAGCUGAGGCGGUGAAAGAUGAGUAUGCGUUCUAUUAGCUAGUUGGAGAGGUAACGGCUCCCCAAGGCGACGAUAGAUAGGGGUUCUGAGAGGGAUAUCCCCCACACUGGUACUGAGAUACGGACCAGACUCGUACGGGAGGCAGCAGUGAGGAAUAUUGGACAAUGGUCGGAAGACUGAUCCAGCCAUGCCGCGUGCAGGAAGACGGCCUUAUGGGUUGUAAACUGCUUUUGCAGGGGAAGAAUAAGGACUACGAGUAGUUUGAUGACGGUACUCUGCGAAUAAGCAUCGGCUAACUCCGUG
rnacentral:rRNA from 1 species